rnacentral:rRNA from 1 species
UACGAGGGGGGCAAGCGUUGUUCGGAAUUAUUGGGCGUAAAGGGUGCGUAGGCGGUUUUGUAAGUCUUAUGUGAAAUCUAUGGGCUCAACUCAUAGACUGCAUGAGAAACUGCAGGGCUUGAGUAUGGGAGAGGUGAGUGGAAUUCCUGGUGUAGCGGUGAAAUGCGUAGAUAUCAGGAGGAACACCUGUGGCGAAAGCGGCUCACUGGACCAUAACUGACGCUGAUGCACGAAAGCUAGGGGAGCAAACAGG